rnacentral:rRNA from 1 species
AUUGAACGCUGGCGGCAUGCUUUACACAUGCAAGUCGAACGGCAGCGCGGGCUUCGGCCUGGCGGCGAGUGGCGAACGGGUGAGUAAUGCAUCGGAACGUGCCCAGUAGUGGGGGAUAGCCCGGCGAAAGCCGGAUUAAUACCGCAUACGACCUGAGGGUGAAAGCGGGGGACCGAAAGGCCUCGCGCUAUUGGAGCGGCCGAUGUCGGAUUAGCUAGUUGGUGGGGUAAAGGCUUACCAAGGCGACGAUCCGUAGCUGGUCUGAGAGGACGACCAGCCACACUGGGACUGAGACACGGCCCAGACUCCUACGGGAGGCAGCAGUGGGGAAUGGUGGACAAUGGGGGCAACCCUGAUCCAGCCAUGCCGCGUGCGGGAAGAAGGCCUUCGGGUUGUAAACCGCUUUUGUUCGGGAAGAAAUCCUCUGGGCUAAUACCCCGGGGGGAUGACGGUACCGGAAGAAUAAGCACCGGCUAACUACGUG